GAUGAACGUUGGCGGCGUGCCUAAUACAUGCAAGUCGAACGAAGACUGUAGUAAUACUGUCUUAGUGGCGAACGGGUGAGUAACGCGUGGGUGACCUGCCCCGAAGUGUGGGAUAACAGUCCGAAAGGAUUGCUAAUACUGCAUAAUAUCCAAGAGAUUAGAUGCUUUUGGAUUAAAGGAGUAAUUCGCUUCGGGAGGGGCCCGCGUCCCAUCAGCUAGUUGGUAAGGUAAUGGCUUACCAAGGCGAUGACGGGUAGGGGACCUGAGAGGGUCGGCCCCCCACAAUGGAACUGAAGCACGGUCCAUACACCUACGGGUGGCAGCAGUAGGGAAUAUUAGUAAUGGGCGAAAGCCUGAACUAGCAACGCCGCGUGUGCGAAGAAGGCCUUCGGGUCGUAAAGCUACUUUUUGAGAGGAUGAGGAAGGACGGUACUCUCAGAAUAAGUCUCGGCUAACUACGUG
rnacentral:rRNA from 1 species